AUGGAGCCUGUGUGGGUGUGUUUGUCAGGAGGAAGGACGCCAGGGCAUGUGCCACGCUGCCUUGCUCGGGCACUCAUACCUGAAUGCUGGGCACAAGCCCAUGGACAUGAACCCUUUAAGGCGAAGCCGAUCAACCAACUGAAUGAGUGACAGGUCCAGCCUGGGGUGGUCGAUAAGGUGUCCUGUGACUCCAAGUGCAAGGACGGCGCCUGGAUCUUCCUGGGAGGGCUUCCUUAUGAACUGAAUGAAGGGGACAUCAUCUGUGUGUUCUCACAACAUGGCGAGAUUGUUAACAUUCAUCUUGUGCCGGACAAAAGAAUGGGAAAUCCAAAGGAUUCCAUUUCCUCUCCUAGGGAGACCAGAGGAGCACAAUUCUGGCUGUUGACAAUUUAAAUGGGAUUAAGAUCAAAGGAAGAACUAUCUGAGUGGAUCAAGUGUCUAACCACCGAGUACCUAAGGAGUCAGGAGAAAUAGAGGAUGUCACCCGAGAGCUCCAGAGAAGGGCUGUGGGGCUCGUACUUCCUCACCAAGUUUGUCUCAGAGCUCCGAAAAUGACAAACCAACACAAAAGCACAAAAAAGACAAACAGGAAAAAAAGGAAAGAAAGAAAGAGAGAAAACUGACUGGGAGGUACAGGCAGUGCAACCAUCCUCUUCAUCAUUCGGAAACGAGACAGCAAAGGAAAAGGAUGACCUGGCCCUAAGAAACACAGCAACAAGAACUCAGAGAUAGCUCAGAAGCCAGAGCCCAGGGAGGGGCGGAAGCUCCCCGGGGCCAGGACUGCCUACUCUGGUGGAGCAGAGGACCUAGAGCCGGAGCUGAAGGAGGAGAAAUCGAACCACAAGCCUAAGUCCUCAAGCAGGAGAGAGGCAAAAGAAAAGACCAGGGAUAGGGACAGAGGGCGGAGUCAGACACACAUUGUAGCCUGUACAACGGGCGUUCUGAAGGGUGUAGUCAUAGGGGUUGAAGUAGGAGCUGAGAUAAAUCUCAGAGGCAUAAAAGGGCCCGGCGCUCCCGGGAGCCUUCGAAUCCCAGUGACCAUAGGCUUCAGUGAAGAUUGUUCAGCUGCUCAGUACAUUUGGAAAUAGUUAUGUUUUUUAAAGGCAGUCAAAUUCAGUUGGGUUGUUGCUAUUUUUGUAUCUAAAGCUUCUGGGGCUGGAUUUUUUAAAUCCCUUGAGUAUCAGAGUCAUUGAGAGGGCUGCAGUUUCAACAGAUAUCCUGGAUAUCCUUCGCACCAUCCAUUGUCCCUGUACCAGAAUAUGUGUCCUGAAUUUUCGUUCAUAAAUAUGGCUCUUGAACCCAUAGACCCCAGUUGACGAUGGAAUUUUCAGGAAAGGGAAAAUACCAGAUAAUUCCAGAAUUCUAGUUUUUGUGUUAGAGGUCUAGAGCUCAGCGUCAUGGGACCCUUCCAGUUACUAGGUUUGGACAGCUUGAUGUGAAUGAAUGGGAUAGGAUUUUUAAGGUCAACCAGCUCCAUGCCCAAACCCUCCUGUUUUAAAAAAAUGUUAAUUUCUUUUCUUUUUCAUUAAAAUUUUCUUGUUUGAUA